rnacentral:rRNA from 1 species
AGGACGAACGCUUGCGGCGUGCCUAAGAAAUGCAAGUCGAGCGGGGGAGCAAUCCCUAGCGGCGAACGGUCGCGUAACACGUAAGCAACCUGCCCGAAAGACCGGGACAACAGCUCGAAAGGGCUGCUAAUACCGGAUGUGUCCACUGGGUCUCCUGACCUGGUGAGUAAAUCAUUUAUGGCUUUCGGAGGGGCUUGCGGCCUAUCAGCUAGAUGGCGAGUAACGGCUCACCAUGGCGACGACGGGUAGC